rnacentral:tmRNA from 1 species
GGAUAAGCGUCGUGUGGAUGGCUUCGGUUUUGCACGGCGUCGAAAACCUAAGCGAAGAUAAGCAUGUAGAAAACUUAUUGGUUCUCCGUUUGGACGAGGGUUCGAUUCCCUCCGUCUCCACAA